rnacentral:lncRNA from 1 species
UAUGACGGAGGCAGUCACGCAAUUUUCUUUCUCGCAAGACAAAAAAAAUAAAAAUAGAUUCGAAUCACCUUCAUCCUUAUCAUAUCCUAGCUAUAUAAAGCUGGUAUGGGCUCAUCAAACUUGAACUAUCAUUUACUAGAACUACUUCAAGUCAUCAUUCUUCAGACCUCUUAUUUCUCUUUAGAUUUCUUUCUGUUUUUAUGUGCUGUUCAUUUCUUUUGCAUAGGAGAGAAACAGCGGCCUUAGCGAAAGGAAGGAAAAUGAAGAUAAAAGUGGAAUAUCUAUUAUCUGCAGAGUUUUAUGCGAAAAUGAAAGAAACACAAAAGGUGGCAGAGAGUUUUGGGAGAAGUUUUUGGAGAAGUGAUUGGUUUGAGGCUUCUCACAAAAUAUAUUGUUUAUAAAGGUAUAUAUAGAGUACAAAGAGAAACCAAAUCCUACCAACUUGACUGUACAUUAAACCAAAUCCUACCAACUAUAGGACUGUACAAUAAUGAAGGAAAUCAAAUCCUACAAACUAUAGGACU